UUACUCUGGUUUCCCUUCAAAACGUAUAAAUCUUUCGCCUUUUACUAAAGAUUUCCGUGGAGGGGAACACUCAAAUGAGUCUACCCAUAUUUUUGUAAAGCUUCGCCUCCGGUGAAGCU
rnacentral:snRNA from 1 species